rnacentral:rRNA from 1 species
AGAGUUUGAUCAUGGCUCAGGAUGAACGCUAGCGGGAGGCCUAAUACAUGCAAGUCGAGCGGUCAGCAAUGAUAGCGGCAGACGGGUGCGUAACGCGUAUGAAACUUGCCCCACACAGGAGGAUAGCCUUGGGAAACUGAGAGUAACCCUCCAUAGUCUUGAGUUGCCGCAUGGUAGCUUAAGUAAACUUCGGUGGUGUGGGAUAGUCGUGCGUCCGAUUAGGUAGUUGGUAGUGUAAUGGACUACCAAGCCGACGAUCGGUAGCUGGUCUGAGAGGAUGAUCAGCCACACGGGCACUGAGACACGGGCCCGACUCCUACGGGAGGCAGCAGUAAGGAAUAUUGGACAAUGGACGGAAGUCUGAUCCAGCCAUCCCGCGUGGAGGAAUAAGGCCCUAUGGGUUGUAAACUCCUUUAGCAGGGGAAUAAAAAGGUCAUUUAUGAUCAAUUGAAGGUACCCUGAGAAUAAGCACCGGCUAACUCCGUG